GCUCAUAACUUUCCAAAGAAUUCUCCUUUUGGGCUUUCUAUGCUUGGUCACAGCCCAAAGGUGAAUUUUUUGGGAAGUUUGA
ncrna:Ornithorhynchus anatinus (platypus) microRNA oan-mir-186 precursor